rnacentral:rRNA from 1 species
UACGUAGGGUGCGAGCGUUUAGUCGGAAUUACUGGGCGUAAAGCGUGCGUAGACGGUUGCGUAAGUCAGAUGUGAAAGCCCCGGGCUCAACCUGGGAAUUGCAUUUGAGACUGCGUAGCUAGGGUGCGGAAGAGGGAAGCGGAAUUUCCGGUGUAGCGGUGAAAUGCGUAGAUAUCGGAAGGAACACCAGUGGCGAAAGCGGCUUCCUGGUCCAGCACCGACGUCAGGCACGAAAGCGUGGGGAGCAAACAGG